rnacentral:rRNA from 1 species
CGGUGCCGUAUGGAAGGGCCGUCGCUCAACGGAUAAAAGCUACCCCGGGGAUAACAGGCUUAUCUCCCCCAAGAGUCCACAUCGACGGGGAGGUUUGGCACCUCGAUGUCGGCUCAUCGCAUCCUGGGGCUGUAGUCGGUCCCAAGGGUUGGGCUGUUCGCCCAUUAAAGCGGUACGCGAGCUGGGUUCAGAACGUCGUGAGACAGUUCGGUCCCUAUCUGUCGUGGGCGUAGGAAAUUUGAGAGGAGCUGUCCUUAGUACGAGAGGACCGGGAUGGACGUACCGCUGGUGCACCAGUUGUUCCGCCAGGAGCACGGCUGGGUAGCUACGUACGGAAGGGAUAAGCGCUGAAAGCAUCUAAGCGUGAAGCCCCCCUCAAGAUGAGAUUUCCCAAUUCGUAAGACCCCUUGAAGACGACGAGGUAGAUAGGUUGGAGGUGGAAGUGCAGCAAUGCAUGGAGCUGACCAAUACUAAUCGGUCGAGGGCUUAUCCUAAA